rnacentral:rRNA from 1 species
UGUAACAAGGUUUCCGUAGGUGAACCUGCGGAAGGAUCAUUAAUGAAUUUUAGGACGUUCUUUUUAGAAGUCCGACCCUUUCAUUUUCUUACACUGUGCACACACUUCUUUUUUACACACACUUUUAACACCUUAGUAUAAGAAUGUAAUAGUCUCUUAAUUGAGCAUAAAUAAAAACAAAACUUUCAGCAACGGAUCUCUUGGCUCUCGCAUCGAUGAAGAACGCAGCGAAUUGCGAUAAGUAAUGUGAAUUGCAGAAUUCAGUGAAUCAUCGAAUCUUUGAACGCACCUUGCACUCUUUGGUAUUCCGAAGAGUAUGUCUGUUUGAGUGUCAUGAAACUCUCAACCCCCCUAUUUUGUAAUGAGAUGGGUGUGGGCUUGGAUUAUGGUUGUCUGUCGGCGUAAUUGCCGGCUCAACUGAAAUACACGAGCAACCCUAUUGAAAUAAACGGUUUGACUUGGCGUAAUAAUUAUUUCGCUAAGGACGUUUUCUUCAAAUAUAAGAGGUGCUUCUAAUUCGCUUCUAAUAGCAUUUAAGCUUUAGACCUCAAAUCAGUUUAGAG